GUGUGUAAUUGCACAUGCUGAACGGCUUUCAAUAUCCGGGAAAACAUCCGCAUCGGGGCAGCAGGUGAGCGAAUGUCUGAGACCUUCCCUUGACAAGGGGAGAAAUGUCACCAUGGACAAUUUCGUAACUUCACGAGCAAUGCCAUUUGCUUGCAAAGAAAACAAGUCUGGCCGGUACCAUGAACAAAGUGAGAUGGGAGCUCCCUCCCUGUGCACAAAAUAAGGCACCUGCACAGCCGCGCAACGGUGCUGAAGAAUGACAAGACAACAGACACAAAGAGAAAACCGGAGACUAUUACCUGCCACAACCAAACAAAAAAGGCUCACUCCUCUCCCCGGUCUCAUCGACGACCAUCCGGCAUACCCAGUGAGGCGCCUCCUGAGUGUUUGACCUCGGGGCAGGGGAUUCCAGUACCUGGUUGACUGGGAGGGUUAUGGCCCGGAGGAGAGGUGCUGGGUCCCCGCUAGGAAACAUAAUGGACUUAGCCCUCAUUGCUGAGUGCUGCUGCCAGCAGAAAAAGACUGCUGCCAUCCUCUCACCUCCAACUAAAACAGUUUACCAAGGAAGAGUCCUCCCACCCAGGCCAAGAAGCCUAAAGGUUCUCCUGAGCCCACCAUAGAGCUGGAGAUCCAGUCAGUGUAACUGGGAACAGCAUCGGAAACUGGGCGUUCUGUGUCGGCGCAUGACCCAGAACCGUCUGCCCGAACCCUUCAACGUCGGCCGCUACCACGUCCACAUCCUCUCCAACACACACACACACAUGCAAGGCCGAGGGCUACAUCAGCAUAUUGAAGGUGUGCAUCCAGUAAGGCCAAAGACGACAAUACCGAUGAUAUUGACGAAUCCGAUAGUGAAGUCACAGAUGACAGUGAUGAAGAGGAGGAGGAGGAAGUGGGCAUCCCUAAGCCAGAGCCUGAGAUGCCAGAGAUGCAAGUCGGCGUGACUCGCUUUCUGACUGGAGUGGUGCCAGCAGGCAGACUGAGAGCCAGGAAGAAACAACCAGCCAGGUGAACGGUAAAUCAUACUCCCAGGCCCGGCUGCUGCUGGGGCAGAUGGGAGCUCUGCACCCGACCAAUCGACUGGCCGCGUUCGUCACCGGAAGGUUGCGCUCUGUAGCGAAGGCCCCUCAAAAGCCUCUCUACUGCUCACCCAGGUUGAAGAAAACACCUGUGGGCACUGGGCGCUUAAAGACAGCAGGCACUGCUGUUACUCCUUUAGGCAGUAGUAGUGUUACAUCUAUGUCUAUGGCCCAGAAAGUAUUCCAGACACCAGCAGGGAAGAACAAGCUUCCUCCCUACAAACCACCAUGGUCCCUAGGUGUCACCAAAUCUAAAGGAAAAACCUCCAAUAGUCAAACCACCACCACCACCACAGACCCUAAAGACCCAGCCAGCUCUCACCUGCUGCUGAUCCCCAUGGCCUCUCCUGCCCCAGGCACCUCCCCAGGCUCUCGUCCUGGUGUGGUGCCCCCCGCAGGGAAGAAGAUGCUACUACAGACAGUCGCUUCCUCCCAGGGCUGUAAAACGUAUCAUCAGACCAACGGACAGAUGAUGAAACCGGUACCUCUGAAUCAGAUAUGUCACAUAAAGGCCAAGAAUCAAAAAAAGACCCCUGGUUCUGCUAUCAAGCCGUCUACCCCCAAAACACUCCCCCUCCCCCAUCUCACCUCCAUCCACCCCCUCGCAGCACCCCUCCCCACUCCCCCUCAUUAAAUUCAUCACAGGCCAGUCGGGUGCCUUCACCCCAUCCCAGACCUCAUCAUCUUCCCCCAUCUCUCUGACCAGCUCCUCCUCCCUGAAGACCCCCAGCUUCCUGGGCCAGAUUGGGACCUACUCCUUCAGGAUCUGUUCACCUAUUUCCAGGGACCAGGGCACAAGGGGCCCAGGCCAGGGCACCAUGGAAGGCCCAGCUGGAGUGGCCCUGCCUGGGGGCUUCACUCUCAUCCAGCUCCCUAAACCUGGAGGUACUGGUGGUUCUCCCCGGCAACCCAAACUAAUCAGAACCACAGCCGUGGGUGAAGCGAUAGCAGCCAGAACUUCGCAGCAAGGAGGGCCUCAUCUGGAGACCAAAUCUUCCUCUGGACCUGCAGGUGGAAAGGCCCAGAAGAACCAGAAAGGAACCUCUUCUCCCUCACCUCUAGCCUUGAUAGAAAUUAAAACAGAGACUGUGCAAUCUGAAAAGCUCUCCUACACUCCAGAGUUAAAUACCAAUACACCUGACUCCAGAUUAGCUCUAGCCCAGAAGAGACAGUCUGACUCAGUCAAGGGGCCUUAAAUCUGACCUUAGAUCAGCCAAAGUCAACUACUCUAGUCCCUCAGAGCCCAAUGAGCUGACCUGUGAGGUGGGGGAGAGGGGUGAUGAGGGGGAGCGACCAUGGAGCCCAGAAUCAUGUCAGAAAGACACAAAGUUAAGUCAGUUUACGACUCUGAGAAUGCAUGAGAAUGGGCAUCCUGAUUUUAAUGUUGAGGACUCGGAUCCGGGCGACUCGUCGGAUGACUCGGAUUCCGACAGUGAUGAAUAUGCCGAGGAAGAAGAGGAAGAAGCGGUUGACAUUGAGACGGCGGAGGAGAGGAGACAGGGCAUCACCAUAACUCAGAUGAGGGCCACUGUCAAACACACACACACACACACACACACAGUAAGACUGGAGUGUGUUUGUAUGGGUGCAUGUGUGUUUGGCUAUUUACAUUUAGCAGUGUGAUUUGCGUGAGACUGUCUCCACAGACAAAACAGUCAGGAUGGUGAAACGGUAAGGCUUCUCCCAUCUGUUCAUUAUAACUGCAGAGCCAUCUUGUUUUGUAGAAAUGUUUUUUUUUGUCUACUCAUUCAUAGCUGUCCAUGUAUGGCAAAAAUAAAAUGCUUGAGAGGUCUCGGAAUACCCAAUAGAAUGCUCAAUGGCCCUUAACCUUUGGCCCCUGUGCCAUGCAGCGUCAGAGGGAAAAGAGAGAGAGAGGGAGGGGUCUGGCGAGGGAAGGGCUCGUAAGAACCGUACCCUGGCGAAGAGGUUGCGUCGCGGCGAGCACCAGAAACUCUUCACCAGACUCAAAACAGGUGCUGUUCAUGGAAGAACUGGACCCCAAGGUCUCCAAGCUUCACCUCCUUUCACAACUUGAUAAUUAUCGAAUACAAAAGAUAUUUAAUCAGGCUCUGAAGGAGAUUCGUACCCCGUCAGUGGACUCUGAGUCUCUAGAGGAGAAGAAAAAGGAUGCUGACUGAGAUCCAGUCUGUCUUAUGUCAAGGAGAUUACAUACAUUUCUGGGAAGCCAGAGGAGCUGAUCAAGGCCAAGCUGAAGGAGAUCUGGGAGAAGAAGAGAGCUCUGGCUGCCCAGAGCAGAUGUGCCCUCUACCUCUAUCCAUAUCUCCUCCACCUGCCAGCUCUCAUCCACCGCCUUCACCCCUAGUCCCAACACCCUGACAGGGAAUAACAACCCGUUUCCUAUAUGUCUGACAACAGCAGAAAGGGCACUAAGAUGGAUCAAUGAAUUAGCCAACAUUCAGUUGUCUCGGGCUAGCUCUCUGGGUCAGGCAGGGGCAGCUAGGGGCUCUGUGAAACCAGUGGCUGCUGUUCUACGCACCGAAAGCGGCAAGAUCAUACUUCCUGCUUCCACACCAGCAGGCGGAGCGGUCUGCACAGUGAUGGUUAUGAAGAGACCAUCAACAGCCACCUCCACCACCAACACCACCUCAGCAGCCAAGGAGGCUGUGGAGAAGGAGAGCGCUGAGGAAAAGGAGUGUACACACUGGAUUAUCUGCACCUCUCGCUGACCCCUAGCCCACGGUGCUCUGUCUGCCACUGACCCUGAGAAGAAGGACCAGGGUAGAGUGUCUGGGGAGGCUGAGCAGUCCUCAGACAGCCCAGCAGAGGAGAGGCCAGCGGUAGGUAAGGAGGAACCACAGGCCCCUGUCUAAUGGAUCCAUGGGAGAAGAGACUUCCAAAGAGAAGGACGACAUAUCCACUCCUACAGAGAAGUCCCGUAUCAAUAAAAACUUGAUCAAUAGGCUUUCUGCUAUGAAGUAUCCCCUUGUGGACAGCGCCUCCCUAAACAGUGCCAUCUGGAGGCCAUUGGAGAAACCGCAGGCGGUGGGUGAGCGUGAUCCAGGAGGCUGGGGCCUGUCUCUGACCAAGGGAGAGGCAUCCGUACUGGUGAAGGCUCUCUCUGAACACAAGGGCAUUGUAGUGGGGCGGAAGGGAAAGGAUGGUAUGGUCACACCAAAGCGCAAGGAUAACCUGGUCCAACACAAUGGAAAGAAGAGCUCUGUGACACUGAAGGACAAGGGUAGCUGUCACACAGAAAAAAAGGGUAGCGCAACGUCUCAGAAAGAAACUAACAACUUGGUCCCACAAAAAGAGGAUAGCUCGGGCCCACCAAAGGAAAAUUAUAGCUUGAUCACUCAAAGCAAAAGACGGCUUGGUGACAUCAAAGGAAAAUGAUUGCUUGCUGACACAGAAGGGAGGGGGAGGCUUGGCAGAUGGCUUGGAGGCUCCAACUGUGAAGAGAACACGACAACAGCCACGCUUGGACGUUUAAUCCCCACCAACUGAACAUAUCACUACUACCCCUGUGGCAACGACUGGGGGUAGCUGGCCAACGUUACACAAGCCACGGGUAGUACCCGUACCCCAGUGUCUCGACCUGGGGGUAUUCUUGUGACUAACACUGGGGAUGGUGGCCCUGCCACUCGGGGUAGUCCUCCUAAAGUACGGAAAGCUGGAGAUAGCUCUAUCCCGGCCCCUGGAACUCGGGCUGGGUUAAGCCCUGCGGUGAAGACUGAUGGCAGCGCAGCCAAAACACCACGAGUAGAUAGCCCGGCCAGGACAACCCAAGCUGGGGUUAAUAGCUCUGCAGCAAUGACUAAUGCAAUGACAGCCCGUGACCCACUCUGUCGGUGGGAAGAGAACAAUGAGGUCUGACAAGGCCUAGUGGAGCUGAGACUAAGGCUGCAUUUCCACACUGCUUCCAUUGGUGCAUCUCGAUACAGUGUGGCUCAGUUGGUAGAGCAUUCCGCUUGCAAAGCCAGGGUUGUGGGUUAGAUUCCCGCGGGGGACCAGUAUGAAAAUGUAUGCGCUCACUACUGUAAAUCACUCUGGAUAAGUGUCUGCUAAAUGACUAAAAUGUACAGUAGUUGUCUACCUCGUUUCCUCUCCCUUCAUUCCAAUGAUGAUGCAUUUCAGCCUAGUUCCAACCAGAGGAACAAGGGAAUCAUACUCAACACAUCACGUCAACAGAUGUGUCAUUAACUAACUGUCAUUAAAGGCUGCACUCCGGUCCAGAAAUCCCAUUGAGACCGCCACAUGUGCCUGUUCACAAAUCCAAAGGACCCUGGACAGUUGUUUGUGUGAGUUAACCCUGUCUCACCUUUAGUACUCAUUUGCCUGCCUGCCUACUCGUGAAUAGACAACAAAGCAGACAAUAAUUUACACCUACAGGACAGUCAGUUUUCAGAACAUCUCUAGUCAUUGAGCGAAACGUUAAAUUAAUUAACUGCAUGCAUGUAUUGAAGGUUUGGCUGCUGUUUGAGUAGUUGUACAUGGGACAUUAGCCCCAUGUUGGGGUGAAUGUGGGAUGUCAUACUUUUUUGGUGAAGUCAAUAUUGUUAUUAGUGUUGUAGAAAGUUGAUUACUUGUGUUAUUUAAUAAUCAGACCUCUGUAAUUUUUGAAGAUAAGUUCUAGGGAAGGUCUGUACAAAAAUAAUGGACAUGCAUGACCACAAAACAGGUCAAUUACUUUCUGGUCUAUUUUGAAGUUACCAAUAGGCCCUAAUCUUUGGAGCUGAAAAUCAUUGAUUUCAGAUACAACAUUCAUGUGUUUGUUCAUGUCAAAAACACUGUAAAUGUUAUUUCUAUGCCACUGUAAAGACUAUGCAUUAUA